GUUUACCACGGUGUGGUCCAUGACUGGGGUGAAGUCGUAACAAGGUAACCGUAGGGGAACCUGCGGUUGGAUCACCUCCUUACGAAGA
rnacentral:rRNA from 1 species